rnacentral:rRNA from 1 species
GAUGAACGCUAGCUACAGGCUUAACACAUGCAAGUCGAGGGGAAACGACAUCGAAAGCUUGCUUUUGAUGGGCGUCGACCGGCGCACGGGUGAGUAACGCGUAUCCAACCUGCCCACCACUUGGGGAUAACCUUGCGAAAGUAAGACUAAUACCCAAUGAUAUCUCUAGAAGACAUCUGAAAGAGAUUAAAGAUUUAUCGGUGGUGGAUGGGGAUGCGUCUGAUUAGCUUGUUGGCGGGGUAACGGCCCACCAAGGCAACGAUCAGUAGGGGUUCUGAGAGGAAGGUCCCCCACAUUGGAACUGAGACACGGUCCAAACUCCUACGGGAGGCAGCAGUGAGGAAUAUUGGUCAAUGGACGAGAGUCUGAACCAGCCAAGUAGCGUGCAGGAAGACGGCCCUAUGGGUUGUAAACUGCUUUUAUAAGGGAAUAAAGUGAGUCUCGUGAGACUUUUUGCAUGUACCUUAUGAAUAAGGACCGGCUAAUUCCGUG